GCCAGGCACAAUGCAGCAUGCCUGUAGUCCCAGCUACUUGGGAGGCUGAGGCUGGAGGAUCUCUUGAGUCCAGGAGUUCUGGGCUGUAGUGUGCUAUGCUGAUGGGGUGUCUGCACUAAGUUCAGCAUCAAUAUGGUGACCUCCCAGAUGCUGGGGACUACCAGGUUGCCUAAGGAGGGGUGAACCGGCCCAGGUCGGAAAUGGAGCAGGUCAAAAUUCCUGUGCUGAUUAGUAGUGGGAUGCUACCUGUGAAUAGCCACUGCACUCCAGACUGGGCAACAUAGCAAGACCCUGUCUCUU
ensembl:misc_RNA Metazoa_SRP Metazoan signal recognition particle RNA